CCCAGAUGUAAGGAGGAGAUAAUCCACAUGUCAUGAAGUAAGAUGCAUUAUAGCUUUCAUCCAGAUUAGGGCAAAUCCAUAUAUUUUUCUCAGAAAAGAAUUUCACAAGACUUUGUGAAGGAAGACAGCAUCAGGU